rnacentral:rRNA from 1 species
CCUACGGGGAGCAGCAGUGGGGAAUAUUGGACAAUGGGGGGAACCCUGAUCCAGCCAUGCCGCGUGUGUGAAGAAUGCCCUCGGGUUGUAAAGCACUUUCAGUGAGGAAGAACGCCUGGUGGUUAAUACCCAUCAGGAAAGACAUCACUCACAGAAGAAGCACCGGCUAACUCCGUGCCAGCAGCCGCGGUAAUACGGAGGGUGCGAGCGUUAAUCGGAAUUACUGGGCGUAAAGCGCGCGUAGGUGGCUUGAUAAGCCGGUUGUGAAAGCCCCGGGCUCAACCUGGGAACGGCAUCCGGAACUGUCAAGCUAGAGUGCAGGAGAGGAAGGUAGAAUUCCCGGUGUAGCGGUGAAAUGCGUAGAGAUCGGGAGGAAUACCAGUGGCGAAGGCGGCCUUCUGGACUGACACUGACACUGAGGUGCGAAAGCGUGGGUAGCAAACAGGAUUAGAUACCCCUGUAGUC